AACGAACGCUGGCGGCAGGCUUAACACAUGCAAGUCGAACGGGUGUAGCAAUACAUCAGUGGCAGACGGGUGAGUAACACGUGGGAACCUUCCUAGGGGUACGGAACAACUCAGGGAAACUUGAGCUAAUACCGUAUACGUCCGUGAGGAGAAAGAUUUAUCGCCCUUAGACGGGCCCGCGUCGGAUUAGCUAGUUGGUGGGGUAACGGCCUACCAAGGCGACGAUCCGUAGCUGAUCUCAGAGGAUGAUCAGCCACACUGGGACUGAGACACGGCCCAGACUCCUACGGGAGGCAGCAGUGGGGAAUCUCGGACAAUGGGCGCAAGCCUGAUCCAGCCAUGCCGCGUGAGUGAAGAAGGUCUUCGGAUUGUAAAGCUCUUUUGCCAGGGACGAUAAUGACGGUACCUGGAGAAUAAGCCCCGGCAAACUUCGUGCCAGCCGCCGCAGUAA
rnacentral:rRNA from 1 species